UUAAGUAAAUCGAUGACAUCCUUUUGAGAUUAAUAAUUUCGAAAUCAACGCUGUAUAUCUGAGGUAGUUUUUGUUUUAUAGGAAUUAUGACGAAAUGUCAAGUCAUUCAAAUCUGUGAUUGAGUAAUUAAGAGAAUUUCAAAACAAGUGCCUAUCUAUAUGAUGCAAAGAUGACAUUUCCUAUUAAGAAACUCGUAAUUGUUUGAAGAAAUCAGUUUUUAUCGUUUAAAUUGCUUUUAAGGAGACGAACCGGUUUUGUGUCAAGUUGGCUUUAUGGAUGUUCUGAAACGACUUCAGUUUGUACCAAAACGGCUGAGAAGGAGGAGGAGGAGGAGGAGGAACAACAACAACGACUGAGGAGGAGGAGGAGGAGGGGGAGGAGGAGGAACCACUUGGAACCUAAGUACGUCAGCUGACGUCGAGGUUAAAUGCUAUUCAACAUUCAUGACAGGAGUCGACAACUGAACUCGAUGAUGUAUUGCUUCAAGUUCUACCGCAGCUAUUUCGAUGAUCCAAGUUGUUUCAGUACUACAUCCAUGAAGACGAUUAGAUAUGAACCCCGUAACAUCGUUGAGGUGGUUCGAUCCGGCCAUGUCACCUGCAACGUAUGGGGCUGGGUGUGUGUGCAUGGUAUGGGUGAUGAGUUCCGUAUCGAGGGACGAUUUAC